GGCACCAUGGCUUAGUUGGUCAAAGUUCCUGUUUUGUGAACAAGAGGUCCUGGGUUCAAGUCCUAGUGGUGCCU